rnacentral:lncRNA from 1 species
UCAGUUUCCCAACCGAGCUUAGACAGGAUUAGUUAGCCAGCAUCAGCAGCAGUGGUGAGUCCUCAUACUUCGAGGACAGGUUUAUCUUAUAUUUUGUUAUGUUAGUAUUUCAGUUAUUUAGUCAGUCGGAUUUAGUUAAGGGCUUCUCCCAUCAACUCCACAUUCAGUCAGUUUUAAAGGCUUUCAGACACUCAAACAGAUAGACAGUUGUUCAGUUGUUUUGCCG